rnacentral:rRNA from 1 species
GAUGAGUUGCGAACGGGUGAGUAACGCGUAGGUAACCUGCCUUGUAGCGGGGGAUAACUAUUGGAAACGAUAGCUAAUACCGCAUAACAAUGGAUGACACAUGUCAUUUAUUUGAAAGGGGCAAUUGCUCCACUACAAGAUGGACCUGCGUUGUAUUAGCUAGUAGGUGAGGUAAUGGCUCACCUAGGCGACGAUACAUAGCCGACCUGAGAGGGUGAUCGGCCACACUGGGACUGAGACACGGCCCAGACUCCUACGGGAGGCAGCAGUAGGGAAUCUUCGGCAAUGGGGGCAACCCUGACCGAGCAACGCCGCGUGAGUGAAGAAGGUUUUCGGAUCGUAAAGCUCUGUUGUAAGUCAAGAACGGGUGUGAGAGUGGAAAGUUCACACUGUGACGGUAGCUUACCAGAAAGGGACGGCUAACUACGUGCCAGCAGCCGCGGUAAUACGUAGGUCCCGAGCGUUGUCCGGAUUUAUUGGGCGUAAAGCGAGCGCAGGCGGUUUGAUAAGUCUGAAGUUAAAGGCUGUGGCUCAACCAUAGUUCGCUUUGGAAACUGUCAAACUUGAGUGCAGAAGGGGAGAGUGGAAUUCCAUGUGUAGCGGUGAAAUGCGUAGAUAUAUGGAGGAACACCGGUGGCGAAAGCGGCUCUCUGGUCUGUAACUGACGCUGAGGCUCGAAAGCGUGGGGAGCGAACAGGAUUAGAUACCCUGGUAGUCCACGCCGUAAACGAUGAGUGCUAGGUGUUGGAUCCUUUCCGGGAUUCAGUGCCGCAGCUAACGCAUUAAGCACUCCGCCUGGGGAGUACGACCGCAAGGUUGAAACUCAAAGGAAUUGACGGGGGCCCGCACAAGCGGUGGAGCAUGUGGUUUAAUUCGAAGCAACGCGAAGAACCUUACCAGGUCUUGACAUCCCGAUGCUAUUUCUAGAGAUAGAAAGUUACUUCGGUACAUCGGUGACAGGUGGUGCAUGGUUGUCGUCAGCUCGUGUCGUGAGAUGUUGGGUUAAGUCCCGCAACGAGCGCAACCCCUAUUGUUAGUUGCCAUCAUUCAGUUGGGCACUCUAGCGAGACUGCCGGUAAUAAACCGGAGGAAGGUGGGGAUGACGUCAAAUCAUCAUGCCCCUUAUGACCUGGGCUACACACGUGCUACAAUGGUUGGUACAACGAGUUGCGAGUCGGUGACGGCGAGCUAAUCUCUUAAAGCCAAUCUCAGUUCGGAUUGUAGGCUGCAACUCGCCUACAUGAAGUCGGAAUCGCUAGUAAUCGCGGAUCAGCACGCCGCGGUGAAUACGUUCCCGGGCCUUGUACACACCGCCCGUCACACCACGAGAGUUUGUAACACCCGAAGUCGGUGAGGUAACCUUU